rnacentral:tRNA from 1 species
AAUAAAGUGCCUGAAGAAAAGGAUUAUUCUGAUAGGAUAAAUUAUAUAGUUAAUACUAUCUUUAUUA